rnacentral:rRNA from 1 species
UACGUAGGGGGCAAGCGUUGUCCGGAUUUAUUGGGCGUAAAGCGCUCGCAGGUGGUCCGAUGCGUCGUGCGUGAAAGACCCCGGCUCAACUGGGGGGUGUCGUGCGAUACGGUCGGACUGGAGGCCAGUAGGGGGAUGCGGAAUUCCGGGUGUAGUGGUGGAAUGCGUAGAGAUCCGGAGGAACCCCAGAGGCGAAGGCGGCGCUCUGGCUCGCAACUGACGCUCAGACACGACAGCAUGGGGAGCGAACGGG